rnacentral:rRNA from 1 species
GAUGAACGCUGGCGGCGUGCCUAAUACAUGCAAGUCGAGCGAACAGACGAGGAGCUUGCUCCUCUGACGUUAGCGGCGGACGGGUGAGUAACACGUGGAUAACCUACCUAUAAGACUGGGAUAACUUCGGGAAACCGGAGCUAAUACCGGAUAAUAUAUUGAACCGCAUGGUUCAAUAGUGAAAGACGGUUUUGCUGUCACUUAUAGAUGGAUCCGCGCCGCAUUAGCUAGUUGGUAAGGUAACGGCUUACCAAGGCAACGAUGCGUAGCCGACCUGAGAGGGUGAUAGGCCACACUGGAACUGAGAAACGGUACAGACUCCUACGGGAGGCAGCAGUAGGGAAUCUUCCGCAAUGGGCGAAAGCCUGACGGAGCAACGCCGCGUGAGUGAUGAAGGUCUUCGGAUCGUAAAACUCUGUUAUUAGGGAAGAACAAAUGUGUAAGUAACUAUGCACGUCUUGACGGUACCUAAUCAGAAAGCCACGGCUAACUACGUG